GGCCUGGCCGAUCGGUCCGCUUCACAGCGUGUUACUGCUUGGCCGGGUCUUCCCUCUUGGUGAUCCUGCAUGCCAUUUACUUGGUGUGUAUGGGGAACCAGGACUUUUACUUUGAAAAAAUUAGAGUGUUCAAAGCAGGCAUUUGCCCGAAUAUAUUAGCAUGGAAUAAUAAAAUAGGAC
rnacentral:rRNA from 1 species